GACGGAGGAUGCAAGUGUUAUCCGGAAUCACUGGGCGUAAAGCGUCUGUAGGUGGUUUAAAAAGUCCACUGUUAAAAAUUGAAGCUUAACUUCAAAAGAUGCCGUGGAAACUUUUAAACUUGAGUAUGAUAGGGGUAGAGGGAAUUUCCAGUGGAGCGGUGAAAUGCGUAGAUAUUGGAAAAGACCACCAAUGGCGAAGGCACUCUACUGGGCCAUUACUGACACUGAGAGACGAAAGCUAGGGGAGCGAAUGGG
rnacentral:rRNA from 1 species